UGUGGGAGCGAGCUUGCUCGCGAUGGCAUGGGUCAGUCGGCGUCAACAGUGACUGACAUACCGCCAUCGCGAGCAAGCUCGCUCCCACA
rnacentral:misc_RNA from 1 species